GUUUUAGUAGUUUAAAUAAAAACACUGGUCUUGUAAAUCAGUAAUAAGCACUACAGAGCUUCUAAAACU
rnacentral:tRNA from 1 species